rnacentral:lncRNA from 1 species
AAAAAAAUAAGUCAAACAAAAGCAUGAGAUUAUUUUUUAUAAUUUAAUCUAAUUGCCACUUAAGAUAGGACAUGUGGUAUAUUAUAUAACAAAAUUGAAGAAAUAGUAAACUUUAAACUCAACCAAAUAAAUAAGAGUAAUUAGAAAUUAAAAAACAAAGAGAAUGCAUAGAAUCAUAUUCUCAUAAAUAUAACUAAGAAAAGAGAGAUAUAGAAAAAAUAUAUAACAUAGCAGUAAUUAUAAAGAUAUAGAAAAAAUCAAAAACAAAAGCAAGA